UACGGAGGAUCCGAGCGUUAUCCGGAUUUAUUGGGUUUAAAGGGUGCGCAGGCGGGAGAUUAAGUCGGCGGUGAAAUUUUGCAGCUUAACUGUAACAGUGCCGUUGAUACUGGGGAGCUAGGAUUUGGUUGCUGUGGGUGGAAUGUGUGGUGUAGCGGUGAAAUGCUUAGAGAUCACACAGAAUAUCGAUUGCGAAGGCAGCUCACAAAGCCAAGAUUGACGCUGAGGCACGAAAGCGUGGGGAGCAAACAGAAUUA
rnacentral:rRNA from 1 species